CGUAGCCCGGGAAUACAGAGGGUGCGAGCGUUAAUCGGAUUUACUGGGCGUAAAGCGUGCGUAGGCGGCUUCUUAAGUCGGAUGUGAAAUCCCUGAGCUUAACUUAGGAAUUGCAUUCGAUACUGGGAAGCUAGAGUAUGGGAGAGGAUGGUAGAAUUCCAGGUGUAGCGGUGAAAUGCGUAGAGAUCUGGAGGAAUACCGAUGGCGAAGGCAGCCAUCUGGCCUAAUACUGACGCUGAGGUACGAAAGCAUGGGGAGCAAACAGGAUUAGAUACCCCUGUAGUCCCUGUCUCUUAUACAC
rnacentral:rRNA from 1 species